rnacentral:rRNA from 1 species
UACGUAGGGUGCAAGCGUUAAUCGGAAUUACUGGGCGUAAAGCGUGCGCAGGCGGUUAUAUAAGACAGAUGUGAAAUCCCCGGGCUUAACCUGGGAACUGCAUUUGUGACUGUAUAGCUAGAGUACGGGUAGAGGGGGAUGGAAUUCCGCGUGUAGCAGUGAAAUGCGUAGAUAUGCGGAGGAACACCGAUGGCGAAGGCAAUCCCCUGGACCUGUACUGACGCUCAUGCACGAAAGCGUGGGGAGCAACAGG